AGAGUUUGAUCCUGGCUCAGGAUGAACGCUGGCGGUAUGCCUUACACAUGCAAGUCGUACGGGAGUUUUUAACUCAAGUGGCGGACGGGUGAGUAACACGUAAGAAUUUGCCUUUAGGAGGGGGAUAACAACUGGAAACGGUUGCUAAUACCCCAUAUGCUUUCGAGUGAAAUGGAUUUAUCCGCCUAAAGAGGAGCUUGCGGCUGAUUAGCUUGUUGGUGAGGUAAUGGCUCACCAAGGCGACGAUCAGUAUCUGGUUUGAGAGGACGAUCAGACACACUGGAACUGAGACACGGUCCAGACUCCUACGGGAGGCAGCAGUGGGGAAUUUUCCGCAAUGGGCGAAAGCCUGACGGAGCAAUACCGCGUGAGGGAUGAAUGCCUAUGGGUUGUAAACCUCUUUUUUCAGGGAGGAACAAAAUGACGUGUACCUGAAGAAUAAGCAUCGGCUAACUCCGUGCCAGCAGCCGCGGUAAGACGGAGGAUGCAAGUGUUAUCCGGAAUCACUGGGCGUAAAGCGUCUGUAGGUGGUCAAAUAAGUCAACUGUUAAAUCUUGAGGCUCAACCUCAAAAUCGCAGUCGAAACUAUUAGACUAGAGUAUAGUAGGGGUAAAGGGAAUUUCCAGUGGAGCGGUGAAAUGCGUAGAGAUUGGAAAGAACACCGAUGGCGAAGGCACUUUACUGGGCUAUUACUAACACUCAGAGACGAAAGCUAGGGUAGCAAAUGGGAUUAGAUACCCUAGUAGUCC
rnacentral:rRNA from 1 species